AUUGAACGCUGGCGGCAGGCCUAACACAUGCAAGUCGAACGAGUGGCGGACGGGUGAGUAAUGUCUGGGAAACUUCCUGAUGGAGGGGGAUAAUUACUGGAAACGGUAGCUAAUACCGCAUACCCUCAGAUGUGCCCAGAUGGGAUUAGCUAGUUGGUGGGGUAACGGCUAACCAGGGCGACGACCCCUCGCUGGUCUGAGAGGAUGACCAGCCACACGGGAACUGGGACACGGUCCAGACUCAUACGGGAGGCAGCAGUGGGGAAUAUUGCACAAUGGGCGCAAGCCUGAUGCAGCCAUGCCGCGUGUAUGAAGAAGGCCUUCGGGUUGUAAAGUACUUUCAGCGGGGAGGCGGUACCCGAAGAAGAAGCACCGGCUAACUCCGUGCCAGCAGCCGCGGUAAUAC
rnacentral:rRNA from 1 species